rnacentral:rRNA from 1 species
CUAACAGGCAGAGCUGAGCACUCUAAUGGGACUGCCGGUGACAAGCCGGAGGAAGGUGGGGAUGACGUCAAAUCAUCAUGCCCUUUAUGACCUGGGCUACACACGUGCUACAAUGGAUGGUACAGAGAGCAGCGAGGCAGCGAUGUGGAGCGAAUCUCAAAAAGCCAUUCUCAGUUCGGAUUGGAGUCUGCAACUCGACUCCAUGAAGUCGGAAUCGCUAGUAAUCGCGAAUCAGCAUGUCGCCGGUGAACUGCGUUCCGGCCUU